rnacentral:misc_RNA from 1 species
CUCUAUUCCAGCAGCCGCGGUAAUACGUUCCCGGGUCUUGUACACACCGCCCGUCACACCACGAGAGUUUACAACACCCGAAGCCGGUGGGGUAACCGCAAGGAGCCAGCCGUCGAAGGUGGGGUAGAUGAUUGGGGUGAAGUCGUAACAAGGUAGCCGUAUCGGAAGGUGCGGCUGGAUCACCUCCUUUCUAAGGAUUACCGUUUCCCGUAGCGGAAACGUCAGCACCCUUGUGGUGCAAAAACGACUAAUUCGUUCGUUGUCAGUUUUGAAAGAACAAUUCAUGUUCUUUCCGCUUACCGAUAAGUGACAAACGUUAACUUCGUUUGUGCCGCUUUCGGUUUAUUGCACCUUGAAAACUGGAUAUGAAAUUGCGAAACAUCCUUUAGCUGAGUUAUACCAUGCUGACGUUAGUCAGCAAUUUGAAAGCGAAGGUUGUUCGGGAUAAGCGACUUUUGUAGACUUGUUUCUACCUCUAAUUGUAUUAGUGGAUCAAAAGAAACAAGGCUAUCAACGGGAGUGUUCACGAAUCAACCGGAGCGCUAGGUUAAGCUAGUAAGAGCGCACGGAGGAUACCUAGGCACACAGAGA